rnacentral:rRNA from 1 species
UACGUAGGGAGCGAGCGUUGUCCGGAAUCAUUGGGCGUAAAGAGCGCGUAGGUGGAUCAAUUAGUCUGCUGUGAAAGUCAAAGGCUCAACCUUUGAAAGCCGGUGGAUACUGUUGAUCUAGAGUACGGAAGAGGCGAGUGGAAUUCCUGGUGUAGCGGUGUAAUGCGCAGAUAUCAGGAGGAACACCAAUAGCGAAGGCAGCUCGCUGGGACGUUACUGACACUGAGGCGCGAAAGCGUGGGGAGCAAACAGG